GAUGAACGCUGGCGGCGUGCCUAAUACAUGCAAGUCGAGCGAACGGACGAGAAGCUUGCUUCUCUGAUGUUAGCGGCGGACGGGUGAGUAACACGUGGAUAACCUACCUAUAAGACUGGGAUAACUUCGGGAAACCGUAGCUAAUACCGGAUAAUAUUUUGAACCGCAUGGUUCAAAAGUGAAAGACGGUCUUGCUGUCACUUAUAGAUGGAUCCGCGCUGCAUUAGCUAGUUGGUAAGGUAACGGCUUACCAAGGCAACGAUGCAUAGCCGACCUGAGAGGGUGAUAGGCCACCCUGGAACUGAGACACGGUCCAGACUCCUAAGGGAGGCAGCAGUAGGGAAUCUUCCGCAAUGGUCGAAAGCCUGACGGAGCAACGCCGCGUGAGUGAUGAAGGUCUUCGGAUCGUAAAACUCUGUUAUUAGGGAAGAACAUAUGUGUAAGUAACUGUGCACAUCUUGACGGUACCUAAUCAGAAAGCCACGGCUAACUACGUG
rnacentral:rRNA from 1 species